AGAACGAACGCUGGCGGCGGGGUUUAGGCAUGCAAGUCGCGCGAGAAAGGGGCAACCCGAGUACAGCGGCGUAAGGGUGAGUAACAGAUAGUCAACGUACCUAUGAGACACGGAUAAUUUCCCGAAAGGGAUUGUAAUACGGGAUGAAGUCAUUGCUGGUACGCCGGCGAUGAUCAAAGGCUGGGGAUCCUUCGGGACCUGGCGCUCAUGGAGCGGACGAUCUCCGAUUAGCUAGUUGGCGGGUAAAAGCCCACCAAGGC
rnacentral:rRNA from 1 species